rnacentral:ncRNA from 1 species
GGGAAGCCGGUGCGAAACCGGCGCGGUCGCGCCACUGUGACCGACCCACGCCCAGUGGGCCCGGGAGCCAGACC